rnacentral:rRNA from 1 species
GUCUUUUUGUUAAUAAUUUAAAGUCGAAUCUGCCCCCUGAUUAAUAAUUAAAGGGCUGCAGUAUAUUGACUGUACAAAGGUAGCAUAAUAAUUAGUCUUUUAAUUGAAGACUUGUAUGAAAGAUUUGAUGAGAUAUAAGCUGUCUCUUUUUUAAAAUUGGAAUUUAAUUUUUUAGUAAAAAAGCUAAAAUUAAUUUAAAAGACGAGAAGACCCUAUAGAGUUUUAUAAUUAAAUUAAUUAAAAAUUUAUUUAAAAUUUUAAAGAUAAUUAGAUUUAAUUAUUUUAUUGGGGUGAUAAAAAAAUUAAAAUAACUUUUUUUUAGAAUUAUACAUUAAUUAAUGAAUAAUUGAUCCAUAAUUUAUGAUUAUAAGAUAAAAUUACCUUAGGGAUAACAGCGUAAUUUUUUUUUUUAGUUCUUAUAAGAAAAAAAGUUUGCGACCUCGAUGUUGGAUUAAGAUAAAAUUUAAAUGCAGAAGUUUAAAAUUUUGAUCUGUUCGAUCAUUAAAAUCUUACA